rnacentral:lncRNA from 1 species
CGACGAUGGUGGAGAGGAGCCAGUUGGUUCUUCAGGAGUCCGCCUCCCAGCUUCCUCCCGAGACUCCGAUCGAGUCUGUGGCUCCUCCACAGGAUGCUGGAUUUCAGAUCUUGACGGAGACGUUGGAUCAGACUCUCGGGAGGAGGCCGGGGACAUAUUGUCGAGGGAUGGGGAAUGCCCGGCGGAGGGAACCUAGACCUCGUUCAUCGGCGCAGUCAAACAGUCAGGUGACUGCUUUGACAGCACAGGUGGCCGAGCUUCAGGUCAGAUGUCGGUGAUUCUACAGUCCCUCGCACAGGGAGGCUUUCCAAUCCCGCAGUUUCGUGCGUCGACCUCCCAGCCCGUCCACCCCGAGCAUGCCCACCAGACCACUGCCCCGGUGGACGCCCAGACCACUGCCCCGGUGGACGCCCAGACCUCCGAGC